ensembl:lncRNA
UAAUAACAGGAAAUAUGACAAUUGCUUCCAAGAGAACUGCAAGAAAUGUACAGCCUGAUGACACAAGGAAGACAAUAAAGAGAAUCCAAAAUGAGUAGCAUUAUAGAGAUGCAGGAUAAGGAGGGCAAUCAUCCUAUACUACUUCAGUCAGCCCAGUUUAAGAAGUUCAUAGUGCCUUAUUUUGGGAAGGAUGUACCCAAUCGGAUCAGGUCCAAAGAAGAGUCACUGAAUGGUGAAAGAACUUUUAUGACACCACAUAAGGCUUGUGUUUCCAGAAGAGUUCCCUGAUCAUUUUUCAUUCUACACAAGGUCUAGCAAGAGAGAUGGGCAAUACAUCCAACAAUUGAAAUCGACUGUCCAGAAAACUAAUGGGAAGGAUGGUUGUGAAAUGAUGUGAAACUGGGGAGAAGAGACACCUAGUCUGGACUUAAGCAUUGGAAUGUUUUCGGCAGAGAAGUGGAAUCUAAGAAGAGGCUUAAAGAUGAGCAUGAUUUAGCCAUAUAUGGAGAGAAAAGAAGACACUUCCAAACACAGAACUCAUCUCCUUGUGGUCUAAAAGGAAGAUGAUAGUGUGGAGUAUUCCGAAAACCAAGGAGAAUUCAACCUGGCUAGAUCAUGGAGUUAGUGAGAAGUAUUGAACACUGGAACUAAAGAAUUGGCCAGUAUCUAGUUUUUAAACCUUUUAGAAACUAGGGUGAGAAUUUGGGUGGUAUCUUAUAGUCAAUCAGAAAUCAUUGAAGGGUUUAAAUAAUUGAAGACAUAAAUAGUUGUAAAACUGAUUUGCCAGGCUUUGGAAAAUGUUUGGAAGGCAUCUAGAGUGGAACUGAUGAGAGGAGGGAGGGGUAACCUGGAGCAGAGGUGUGGCCAUGACCAUGGGGAGAGCAUGCAGACUAGAGCUAUACAAAAGAGAUGGUUUCUUCCGGAGCUUUAGUUACAGUAAUUAAUAUCUUGAUGGUGUAAUGUGUAUUCCCUGGAUUGUGUUGGGUAAAACAAAUGCUGGUACUAUUUUGGUUUGGAUAUCAAAUACCACCAAAAGUCUCACAUGAGGAAGUAGGGUCUGGUCAGAAGGGGUGUGUAGUGAGGGUGUGGCUUGGAAGGGUGUAUUCUCAUCUCCAGCUCUUCUCUUUUCUUCUCUCUCUGCUCCCUGGUUGCCAUGUGGUGAAGACCUUUCUUCUGCCAUGCCACUCUGCCAUGUUGUUUCCACUCUGGAGUCAACUAACUAGAAAUGGAAUGGACGGCAAUUGUGGACCCAAAUAAAUCUCUUCUUUAAAUUGCAGGUGUUGGGUAUUUUGUCCCAGUGGCAGGAAAAUGACUAAUGUAGUUACCAUGCCAAAAGAAGAUGGUAGUUUGUUUAUAUCAGUGCUGAAUACUGCAUUACCUUUUAUCUCAAUAUUCUAGUAUCUUCAACCUUUUCUUUACUCAAACAUAUUUAUCACAUGCCUACUCUUAUGCCAGGCACUAAGCUAGACAUAAAUAACCUGACAGUGAGAUUAAAAGAUACUCUUAUGAAGCUUACAGUCCAUAAGUUUUGUAAGCAAAAUAACUAACUGAAUGAAAAACAUAGGUCUAAGUGCUAUCAGAUAGUAUGGUAAGGUAGAGUGCUGAGAAGUGACUACUCACAUUAGAGUAUCAGAGAAGGUCUCAUCAGAGA